rnacentral:rRNA from 1 species
UCGAGAAUUUUUCACAAUGGGCGAAAGCCUGAUGGAGCGACGCCGCGUGGGGGAUGAAUGGCUUCGGCCCGUAAACCCCUGUCAUUCGCGAACAAUGCCUGCGGUCCAAUACAUCGCAGGUUGAUAGUAGCGGAAGAGGAAGGGACGGCUAACUCUGUGCCAGCAGCCGCGGUAAUACAGAGGUCCCAAGCGUUGUUCGGAUUCACUGGGCGUAAAGGGUGCGUAGGCGGUCGGAUAAGUCUGAUGUGAAAUCUCCGAGCUUAACUCGGAAAUGGCAUUGGAAACUAUUCGGCUUGAGGUCUGGAGGGGGGACUGGAAUUCUCGGUGUAGCAGUGAAAUGCGUAGAUAUCGAGAGGAACACCAGUGGCGAAGGCGAGUCCCUGGACAGGUCCUGACGCUGAGGCACGAAAGCUAGGGGAGCAAACAGG